CCUACGGGUGGCAGCAGUGGGGAAUAUUGGACAAUGGGCGAAAGCCUGAUCCAGCCAUGCCGCGUGUGUGAAGAAGGCCUUCGGGUUGUAAAGCACUUUCAGUGGGGAAGAAAGCCUUGGGGCUAAUACCCUCGAGGAAGGACAUCACCCACAGAAGAAGCACCGGCUAACUCCGUGCCAGCAGCCGCGGUAAUACGGAGGGUGCGAGCGUUAAUCGGAAUUACUGGGCGUAAAGCGCGCGUAGGCGGUCUGAUAAGCCGGUUGUGAAAGCCCCGGGCUCAACCUGGGAACGGCAUCCGGAACUGUCAGGAUAGAGUGCAGGAGAGGAAGGUAGAAUUCCCGGUGUAGCGGUGAAAUGCGUAGAGAUCGGGAGGAAUACCAGUGGCGAAGGCGGCCUUCUGGACUGACACUGACGCUGAGGUGCGAAAGCGUGGGUAGCAAACAGGAUUAGAUACCCGUGUAGUC
rnacentral:rRNA from 1 species